rnacentral:rRNA from 1 species
AUAAGAAAGUAGGAAAGGGCACAUGGGGGAUGCCUUGGCUCUCGAAGGCGAUGAAGGACGCGAUAAGCUGCGAUAAGCUGCGGUAAGGUGCAAAUGACCUUCGACCCGCAGGUUUCCGAAUGGGGCAACCCGUCAGGCGAAAAGCCUGUCACGCCGCUUACGCGGCGGGCUAACGCAGGGAACUGAAACAUCUAAGUACCUGCAGGAAAAGAAAAUAACAAUGAUUCCCUUAGUAGUGGCGAGCGAAACGGGAAUAGCCCAAACCAGUCAUGUCCAGGCAUGUCUGGGGUUGUAGGACCGCGCCGUGGCACGGCGCCGCCGAAGUGGAACCCUCUGGAAAGUGGGGCGGUAUAGGGUGAUAGCCCCGUACACGAAUCGGCGGCCCGGCCUAGCGGUAUCCUGAGUAGCGCGGGACACGAGAAAUCUUGCGUGAAUCUGCCGGGACCAUCCGGUAAGGCUAAAUACUCUCGAGAGACCGAUAGUGGACCAGUACCGUGAGGGAAAGGUGAAAAGAACCUCGGACAGAGGAGUGCAAUAGACCCUGAAACCAUGUGCCUACAAGCGGUCGGAGCUGGCUAGUCCAGUGACGGCGUGCCUUUUGCAUAAUGAACCUACGAGUUGCCGUCGCCGGCAAGGUUAAGCGCCAUGAGGCGCGCAGCCGAAGCGAAAGCGAGUCCGAACAGGGCGUUUGAGUCAGCGGCGGCAGACGCGAAACCAAGUGAUCUACCCUUGGCCAGGCUGAAGUCUGGGUAACACCAGAUGGAGGGCCGAACCGAUAAGCGUUGAAAAGCUUCCGGAUGAGCUGAGGGUAGGGGUGAAAGGCUAAUCAAACUUGGAGAUAGCUCGUACUCCCCGAAAUGCAUUUAGGUGCAGCCUCUGUUUUUAGUUGCAUCAGGUAGAGCUACUGAUUGGAUGCGAGGGCUUCACCGCCUAUCAAGUCCAGACAAACUCCGAAUGGGUGCAACUUCUAUGCAGGGAGUGAGGGCGCGGGUGCUAAGGUCCGCGUCCGAGAGGGCAACAACCCGGACCACCGGCUAAGGUCCCCAAAUACAUGCUCAGUUGCAUUAACGAAGUCGGACUGCACGGACAGCUAGGAUGUUGGCUUGGAAGCAGCCAUUCAUUUAAAGAGUGCGUAACAGCUCACUAGUCGAGCGGUCUGGCGUGGAUAAUAAUCGGGCAUAAGCAUGUUACCGAAGCCGUGGGAUAUUCAAUAUCGGUAGGGGAGCAUUCCAGCGGCGUGGAAGGCGGGGAUUGAUCCCUUCUGGAGCCUCUGGAAAAGCAAAUGUAGGUAUGAGUAACGAUAAGGGGGGUGGGAAACCCCCCCGCCGAAAGACUAAGGUUUCCUGAUCAACGCUAAUCGGAUCAGGGUGAGUCGGGGCCUAAGGGGCAUCCUAACGGAGUCACCCGAUGGACGAAACGGUUAAUAUUCCGUUACUGACGCAAGGAGCGACGCGGCGACGCAGGAGUGGCACUGCCGCCUACUGACGGAAUAGUAGGUUGAAGGGUGUAGGAGCCGAUCCGGCCAGGCAAAUCCGGCCGGAGAUCCGAACCUGAAAGUACGCCGAGCCUUCGGGCGGGGCGAUAGCGCAGGUAAGCAAGCUGCCAAGAAAACCCGCUAAGCAUAUCCUUGCGGCACCCGUACUAAAACGGACACACGUAGUUGGGUUGAGUAUACUAAGGCGCUCGAGUGAAUCACGGUUAAGGAAUUAGGCAAAAUGACCCCGUAACUUCGGGAUAAGGGGUGCCCGCUUCGGCGGGCCGCAGAGAAUAGGGGAAGGCAACUGUUUAACAAAAACACAUGGCUAUGCUAAUAAGAAAUUAGACGUAUAUGGCCUGACACCUGCCCGGUGCCGGAAGGUUAAGAGGAGAUGUCAUCGCGAGAGAAGCAUUGAAUUGAAGCCCCGGUAAACGGCGGCCGUAACUAUAACGGUCCUAAGGUAGCGAAAUUCCUUGUCGGGU